rnacentral:lncRNA from 1 species
AAACAGGCUUCCUUGCCAAGUCAGGGCAGUGAGAAAGCUGUGUGUUUGAAGUUGCUAUUAGUGUCUUCCUCAGCUGAUUUCUAUAAGGGAUUGUUUUCCGGUAAAGGAGGAAUAAGGGAAAUACUUAAACAAUAACUGCUCUGAGUGAGUGUGUCCAGGGAAAUCAUUAUCUCUUAUUGUGCCAAUAAGUUUCAAGGCAAUGAGCCAAGCUGUUCUUAAGCUGGAGCCUCAGCUACAGCUCCGAGGUCAAAACCUGCACCAAAAGGGAGUUCGUGUGAGAUGCCCCCUGGAGAUGCCCAAACUGCCAGAGCUCUUCACAUCCUUUGUCUACUUAUUGGAAGCCAUUCCAAAUGUGCAUUCGAAGGCCUGAAGAAAGGAGAAGUGAUGGCAGACUAGUGGUGGAAACUGAUAAAUGAUGGAUGAGGAGCUGAGGAUGCCCCAUCCCUGUUUGGUCAAGAACUAUUGCUUUGCCUGAUAGCACUGAGACAUGGAAGAGUCCCCAGAGGGAAACCAGGGAAACGAGUCGUCUGUUCACAAGAGUUAGGAGGAGAUUUGGCGGAAACCUCGACCAUCAGGGACACGAGAUCUGCCUCCACAGAGGAAGCACAGGCGACUCGUUUCCUGACCCCUGGCCAUCUUAGGGCUUCCUAUAUAAUGAUUCAGCCCUUCUCCCUCAGGAAAAUAUAAUUUGGCUUGUGACCUUGAAGUUUAUUCCUAUCCUGGAAGCUGAUUAUAGUCUGGAACAUGCUUCCCAGGGCAGUAAUUGUUUAAGGGGCUGCCCUCAUCCUGGAUGGCAGGAAAACAAUACAUUACAUAUGUCGGCUGACUAUACAUGUGAGCAAUUCAAGUAGGAAAACAUCAUUCUCUGAGGGUCAGUUUGCUCCAGUGGGACAUAUUUGUUUUUGCAAGGAUUCAACUGAUCAAGUCAAUUGGAGUCAACUGCAUUUGCUCGCAGGAACAAUGAAGACCCUUUCCGGUUCUUGAGUCCAUCUGCUGGAUACAUAGACUCAAGUGACAUCCAAAUGUGUGAAGCAUUUCCUAUUUCUGAUAAUUUUUGAGGGGGUUGCCUAUGUGGGGUUACACCAUAAAUGCUUGUAUAAUGUCUUAUACUCAUUGCAUCAUGUGUGAAUCUAAGCCAUGCUUCCCAACAAUAUUGCAAGCUUUUUUGGGGCUGGUCUUCUGU